UGCGUAGGCGGCUUCUUAAGUCUGGUGUGAAAGCCCAGGGCUCAGCUCUGGAAGUGCACUAGAUACUGGGAAGCUUGAGUACCGGAGGGGAGAGUGGAAUUCCUGGUGUAGCGGUGAAAUGCGUAGAUAUCAGGAGGAAUACCGGUGGCGAAAGCGACUCUCUGGACGGUUACUGACGCUGAGGCACGAAAGCUGGGGAGCAAACA
rnacentral:rRNA from 1 species